UGCUGCCAAUCGGACCAAGCAUGCGGGGGAUAGAACGUUCUUGGAUGUAAUAAAAUCCUCUGGAGUCUAGAGGGAGAAAUUCAGCUACUGCUCAAAUCAUGGCAAAGCACCGAGCUCCCAGAUCAAGAGGGAAAGCAAAAGCCGUUCUUGGAGAUGCAGCAGCUAUAAAGCAUGAAAUCCACCAUCCUAAAGCAAAAUAUGGAUCAUUGCCAUGAAGUUGCCAGCAGUGAACUGUCCUGAACUCUGCUGUAGAUCUCAAGCUCUUUUGGGAGAAAACCCAAGGAAGGAGCCCAAGGGAAGGUUGUCAGAAGGUGGGGUAAAUGUAAGUGGAGCCACUCCAACAUAUUGUGCAACUCUGUACUACUCUGUGUUAGCAAUUGGUGCUUCUUCUCAUAAAUAUUGUUUUGUGGAAGCUGCCUGUCUCCACAAGUGAUGGAAAAUAAAGUAUGCAUGAAGAUGAGACAACAGCCAAAAUUAAGUAUACACUGCUGCCAGACGUGGAUCUCUUUGCAUGCUGUUUGAAGGGAAACGGAGUGCAAGUACAGGUGCUUUCUGUAACAGGAAAGGUUACUCACUGACUAAUAGGAUUUCUCAGUCUGCCGAAAAUCCACUGUCACUUUUGAAUGAGAAGGAAGUGUCAUGCCGAUAAAUCAGCCUGUCAGUUUGUGACCGAAGAAUAUACAAUCCUUCUGAAGCCAAAGAAGAAUUACCCAAGAUUUGAUCUCUGUUCUAGCUGCAGGUUUUUUCCACUGGAUUUCUAGAUAACAGAAGUAAAAUAUUUCUAGCCACUUCAUUAGUAGAAGGCUUUUUUUUUUUUUCCCCAGUUAAGAAUAACGAGAAAUGCAUUGUUUCAAUAUAAUCAAUUAUUUACUAGAAGAUUAGGGGCUUUUGCAAACCCUGCUUUAUAUUUGUAAAUGCAUCAGUUUAAGAAAUAAUUGUCAAAGGAGCAGAACAGUGCCUUGUAAUUUAUUAUUAUUAUGUACAGGCUACUAAUAGAUGGUUUUGUUUUUUGUUUGUUUGGGUUUUGGUUUUUAUUUUUUACAGCACACUAGAGGUUCUCAAAAUUUAGAGCAGAGAUUAAUUUGUUGUUGCAAAGAUUAUGUGAUGGCAUGACCCAUGUCCCAUUGAUACAAAUAUCAGAACUCUGUAACCUCCAGUGGUACCAGAAGUGGAUUUGCAGGUUCCCAAUCUGCUGGUUGAAGAAUUGGGAAAAAUCAUCAUUAAAAUCUGAAAGCAGUCAUGCAGGACAAA